UACGGGGGGCNGCAGUGGGGAAUAUUGCACAAUGGGCGCAAGCCUGAUGCAGCCAUGCCGCGUGUAUGAAGAAGGCCUUAGGGUUGUAAAGUACUUUCAGUUGGGAGGAAGGCGUUGAUGCUAAUAUCAUCAACGAUUGACGUUACCAACAGAAGAAGCACCGGCUAACUCCGUGCCAGCAGCCGCGGUAAUACGGAGGGUGCAAGCGUUAAUCGGAAUUACUGGGCGUAAAGCGCACGCAGGCGGUUGAUUAAGUUAGAUGUGAAAUCCCCGGGCUUAACCUGGGAAUGGCAUCUAAGACUGGUCAGCUAGAGUCUUGUAGAGGGGGGUAGAAUUCCAAGUGUAGCGGUGAAAUGCGUAGAGAUGUGGAGGAAUACCGGUGGCGAAGGCGGCCCCCUGGACAAA
rnacentral:rRNA from 1 species